UACGAAGGGUGCAAGCGUUACUCGGAAUUACUGGGCGUAAAGCGUGUGCAGGUGGUUCGUUAAGUCUGCUGUGAAAUCCCCGGGCUCAACCUGGGAAUGGCAGUGGAUACUGGCGGGCUAGAGUGCGGUAGAGGGUAGUGGAAUUCCCGGUGUAGCGGUGAAAUGCGUAGAGAUCGGGAGGAACACCAGUGGCGAAGGCGGCUACCUGGACCAGCACUGACACUCAGACACGAAAGCGUGGGGAGCAAACAGG
rnacentral:rRNA from 1 species